rnacentral:tRNA from 1 species
GCCUGGGUGGCGAAAUUGGUAGACGCAGCGGAUUCAAAAUCCGCCGGUGAGUAACCGUGUCGGUUCGAGUCCGACCCUAGGCA